rnacentral:rRNA from 1 species
UACAGAGGUCCCAAGCGUUGUUCGGAUUCAUUGGGCGUAAAGGGUGCGUAGGCGGCCAGGUAGGUCUGGUGUGAAAACUCGAGGCUUAACCUCGAGAUGUCAUCGGAAACCAUCUGGCUAGAGUCCGGAAGAGGAAAGUGGAAUUCCUGGUGUAGCGGUGAAAUGCGCAGAUAUCAGGAAGAACACCAAUGGCGAAAGCAGCUUUCUGGGACGGUACUGACGCUGAGACGCGAAAGCGUGGGGAGCGAACAGG